CCUAAUUAACUGUUUUUUUUUCCCUGUCGUAGAUGAACAUGUCGAGGUAAAACAAAAAGGACCCUAGUCUCUCUCAAACGAGCCCACCGCCGUAUCUCCACCGACUGCGUGUUUUCCGGCAUUGUUGGUCCUCCGGUGUUCAUCUGGGCGACGAUUGAAGACUGAAUCAAUAGGUUUUGGAUCUAUAUUACAUCAAAGGUUAUCAAUGGAAAACAAUCUAGGAAGCACGAGUAAGACAUCAGCCACUACUAAGGAGUUUCCCAAGCGCCUUUUCGGACAUGGUAAAGAGCCUGAAGUUGAGAAAAUUAACAACAGCUGCAGAUUAUCGAUACUUAGGAAAAUCAAAGAUGCUUUGCCACAUUGAGUGUCAUAUGCUUAAUCUAAGCAUGGAUUUGAUAAACGAUAGGAACAUCAAAGAGGCGCGCAUGAAGAUUGAUGUAGACCUUUGGGAGGCUGCUCAUGAUCCUAUCUUAAUUGAGCGAAUGGAGAACUAUAAACCUCCACAUCAAUUGUCUGAUAUCCUUGAAAUUGAUUGAGAUUAAUUAGCAUUAUGGUUUUUUUUAUCGUGCAAACAGAUUAUGUACUAGUCUUGCGACAUGUAGUUUGUAUGACCUUUGUUUUUUGUUCCUAAUUAUUUAGGCAUUUUAUGAAAGUAAGUUUCUUGAGUUCGUCUCUAAUAUCUCCUUUUAGCUCGAGCAAGAUGAUUUUUUGUUCUCCACUACUUCUUGUGCUUAUCUGUUUUAUACGUGUUCUACUCA